rnacentral:rRNA from 1 species
GAUGAACGCUGGCGGCGUGCCUAAUACAUGCAAGUCGAGCGAACAGACGAGGAGCUUGCUCCUCUGACGUUAGCGGCGGACGGGUGAGUAACACGUGGAUAACCUACCUAUAAGACUGGGAUAACUUCGGGAAACCGGAGCUAAUACCGGAUAAUAUAUUGAACCGCAUGGUUCAAUAGUGAAAGACGGUUUUGCUGUCACUUAUAGAUGGAUCCGCGCCGCAUUAGCUAGUUGGUAAGGUAACGUCUUACCAAGGCAACGAUGCGUAGCCGACCUGAGAGGGUGAUCGGCCACACUGGAACUGAGACACGGUCCAGACUCCUACGGGAGGCAGCAGUAGGGAAUCUUCCGCAAUGGGCGAAAGCUUGACGGAGCAACGCCGCGUGAGUGAUGAAGGUCUUCGGAUCGUAAAACUCUGUUAUUAGGGAAGAACAAAUGUGUAAGUAACUAUGCACGUCUUGACGGUACCUAAUCAGAAAGCCACGGCUAACUACGUG